rnacentral:rRNA from 1 species
GACGAACGCUGGCGGCAUGCCUAACACAUGCAAGUCGAGCGAGACCUUCGUGUCGAUUGGCCCACGGGUACUUAACGCGUGGGAACCUGCCCUUAGGUUCGGAAUAACUCCCCGAAAGUGGUGCUAAUACCGGAUAAUAUCUUCAGACCAAAGGUUUAACUCGUUUGGAUGGGCCCGCGUUGGAUUAUCUAGUUGGUAGGGUAAAAGCCUACCAAGGGGACGACCCAUAGCUGGUGAGAGAGGAUGAUCACCCACACUGGGAGUGAGCCACGGCACGGAAUCCUCCGGGAGGCGGCAGUGGGGAAUAGUGGAACAUGGGGGAAGGCCUGAUGCAGUAAUGCCGGGAGAGCGAUGAAGGCAUUAGGGUAGUAAAGCUCUUUUACACGGCAUGAUAAUGACGGUACCGGGAGAAUAAGCUACGGCUAACUCCGUG